CCCGCCGCCUCCCCCCGUCCCUUUCCUCACACGACCGCGGCUUUAUUUUUAAAUCCCCUUUAAGUCGGUUUUUCCGUCUUUUUGCACAGGUCCGCGUCGCUCCAAACGCUUCAGCCCGUGUUUUGCACUUUUAAACCCGCUUUUAAACAUUUCAACCCGGCUUUUUUCUAAUGUUUCCGUCGCUUUUUACACCUUUCCGUCCUUUUGCACAGGUUCGCGUCGAUCCUGGAAACGCCUCAGCCCGUGUUUUGCAUUUUUAAAUCCGCUUUCAAACAUUUCAACCCGGCUUUUUUUAACGUUUCCGUCCCUUUUUUACACGUUCAGGUCUCUCUUUUAAACGGUCGCCUCCGCGAAAUGUUUUGAUCCACCUAUGAAAUGUUUCAGCCUGUGUUUUAAACGUUUAAAGCCAUUUUUAAACCUGUCUCUCCGGUUUUUUUUUUAAUGUUUCGGUACUUUUUAACGUCUCAGUCCUUUUUUCAAUGUUCGCAUCUGUCCCUUAAACGUUUCGAUCCGCCAUUUAGAUGCUUCAGCCCGCGUUUUACAUUUUAAAAUCCAUUUUUAAACAUUUCAAUCCAUUUUUAUGUGUCAGUGCUUUUUCUGUGUUUCAGUCUGUUUUUAAAUGUUCGCAUCCGUCUUUCAAACCCUUCCAUCCGCUUUUUAAACGUUUCGGUCUGUGUUUUACAUUUUUAAAUCCGCUUUUAAACAUUUCGACCAGAUGUUUUAAAGGUUUCGAUACUUUUUUACAUGUUUCAAUCCAUCUUUUAAACCUUCGCGUCUGUCGUAGAUGUUCAAGUCCGCCUUUUCAGUGUUGCAGUCUUGUUUUUUUUUAAUGUUUCCAAAAAACGUUGCAGUCUGUUUUGCAAACAUUUCAAUGAGUUUUUGGCUGGAUUUGAACCUCUUAUUUUGGAGCUGGGUUGCGGUGCCUUCAUUUGGAACCAGGACAGAAGCUGCUUUAUUUUGUCAAGGGGAAGCAGAACUUGAUGGGAACUCUCCAGAAAAUAGCAGGGCUGCUCUGGGAAGUCGAAAAACACUUCAGAAGACAAUAGUAAACCAUUUCUGUAUCGUUGCCAAGAAAACUGGAUGGACAUGCUUGAACUCAUCUUUAAAGUUCCCUGACCUACUUGUGGAAAGAAAAAGAGACAAAGCCACACAACGACUCCCAACCCUUCAAUCUGCAAGCACUUCUUUGUAUUUCCCUUGAAAAUAAAAGCAAGCGGAAAAUGAAAAGUGAGACAAGUCAAUGGUGGCUUCUUUGUAUGCAGGAACAGAGGUCACUUGACUGCAGCUGAGGUUGGCAAAAAUUGGAGGGAAAGAACCGUACAAGAGCAUCUUUCUGCAUGGACAGAAAAUAAGGUUUCUAUUUUAAAUUACGGAAACGUCACUUGUGAACUCUUCUGACACUUGAAAUGGCCUAGAAAAUGUGCAAGUUUUCGUCCUCUCUUCAUUAGCAGAUAUGCAUAAAUUAAAUGCCAACUUCAAAUUUGCCCUUCUCUCUCUGUUUGUGCUCUUGACAUUCUUUGGAAUGAAAAUGCUGCUUUGUACCCUAUUACUGGCUGUGCCAGGAAGUUCCUCUUAACACUU